UACGAAGGGGGCUAGCGUUGUUCGGAAUCACUGGGCGUAAAGCGCACGUAGGCGGAUCUUUAAGUCAGGGGUGAAAUCCCUCGGCUUAACCGGGGAACUGCGUCUGAUACUGGAUGGCUUGAGUUUGGGAGAGGGAUGCGGAAUUCCAGGUGUAGCGGUGAAAUGCGUAGAUAUCUGGAGGAACACCGGUGGCGAAGGCGGCAUCCUGGACCAACACUGACGCUGAGUGAGCGAAAGCCAGGGGAGCAAAGCGGG
rnacentral:rRNA from 1 species